rnacentral:rRNA from 1 species
CAGCAGCCGCGGGAAUACAGAGGGUGCGAGCGUUAAUCGGAUUUACUGGGCGUAAAGCGUGCGUAGGCGGCUUCUUAAGUCGGAUGUGAAAUCCCUGAGCUUAACUUAGGAAUUGCAUUCGAUACUGGUAAGCUAGAGUAUGGGAGAGGAUGGUAGAAUUCCAGGUGUAGCGGUGAAAUGCGUAGAGAUCUGGAGGAAUACCGAUGGCGAAGGCAGCCAUCUGGCCUAAUACUGACGCUGAGGUACGAAAGCAUGGGGAGCAAACAGGAUUAGAUACCCGCGUAGUCCCUGUCUCUUAUAC